rnacentral:misc_RNA from 1 species
UUUCCGUAGGUGAACCUGCGGAAGGAUCAUUAAAAAAUUGGACUCCAUUGGUGAGUUCAUUAAUAAUCCUACCCUUUGUGAAUUUGUUUGUUUGAAUAAUUUUUUUUCCAAAAAAAAUUAUUGAAUGUCUUUCCCUGUUUUGGUGGAGCUUGUAAAGUGAAACCAGGCAGGGGAAUGGCAAACAAUAAUUAUUUUUGAAAAAGGCCUUUUUUAAAAUUAAACUUUUUGUAUUCAUUUGUCUAAAAUUAUUUUUAUAAUAUAAAAACAACUUUUGACAAUGGAUCUCUUGGUUCUCGCAACGAUGAAGAACGCAGCAAAAUGCGAUAAGUAGUGUGAAUUGCAGAAUACGUGAAUCAUCGAAUCUUCGAACGCAUAUUGCACUUUUUUAGUUUACUAAAAAAGUAUGUCUGUUUGAGUAUCAGUAAAAUAUUCUCAUAAAAAAUUUAUUUUUUAUGGUUAUGAGUGUUUUACAACGAUAACAAGUUGUUUCACUUUAAAUUCUUUGUUAUCGAAAAAAUCAUUAAAAGCUAAUUUUAAAGAUUUUUUAAAAUUGGAUAAAAUUUUCCCGUAAAGAGGAAUAACCUAAACAAUUUUAAAAAAUUAAAAUUGGUUUGAUUUUUCUUGAUUUAAAAAGGAAAAAAAAGUAAAAAUUAACUUGAUCUCAAAUCAGAUAAGAGUACCCGCUGAACUUAAGCAUAUCAAUAAGCGGAGGAAAAGAAACCAACUAGGAUUCCCUCAGUAACGGCGAGUGAAGCGGGAAGAGCUCAAAUUUGAAAUCUUCAAGGUUUUACCUUGACGAAUUGUAGUUUAAAGAAGUGUUUUCUGUUGGAGUUUUGGUAAAAGUUCUUUGGAAAAGGACAUCAUAGAGGGUGAGAAUCCCGUAUUUGACCAUUAUCUCCAGCUUUGUGAUACACUUUCAAAGAGUCGGAUUGUUUGGGAAUGCAGUCCAAAAUGGGUGGUAAAUUUCAUCUAAAGCUAAAUACUGGCGAGAGACCGAUAGCGAACAAGUACCGUGAGGGAAAGAUGAAAAGAACUUUGAAAAGAGAGUUAAACAGUACGUGAAAUUGUCAAAAGGGAAGCGUUUGACACCAGUGUUGUUUUCUCGAAAAUCAAUUAAAAAAGGCCGGAUUUUGUGUUGUAUUGACUUUAUCGGCUUUCUGCACUUUUUUCUUGUCUUUUUUAACGCACUUUUCGUUUAACAAGUCAACAUCAAUUUCUUUUGUUGUAAAAGGGUCAUUGGAAGGUGGCUUUCUUUUCGGAGAAAGUGUUUAUAGCCUUUGGCCUCUGCAAUCGGAGAGAUUGAGGUCUGCAGCGUAGAUCCUUCGGGGUUAGAUACUUUUGUGCUAAGUUAUAGCCUUUCAUAGACAACUUGUUGACUAUGAUCAGUCAUGUAGCUUACUCGCUUAUGCUAUUUUACCUACGCUUAGGAUGUUG